UGGGGAAUUUUGGACAAUGGGCGAAAGCCUGAUCCAGCAAUGCCGCGUGUGUGAAGAAGGCCUUCGGGUUGUAAAGCACUUUUGUCCGGAAAGAAAUCCUUGGCUCUAAUACAGUCGGGGGAUGACGGUACCGGAAGAAUAAGCACCGGCUAACUACGUGCCAGCAGCCGCGGUAAUACGUAGGGUGCAAGCGUUAAUCGGAAUUACUGGGCGUAAAGCGUGCGCAGGCGGUUUGCUAAGACCGAUGUGAAAUCCCCGGGCUCAACCUGGGAACUGCAUUGGUGACUGGCAGGCUAGAGUAUGGCAGAGGGGGGUAGAAUUCCACGUGUAGCAGUGAAAUGCGUAGAGAUGUGGAGGAAUACCGAUGGCGAAGGCAGCCCCUGGGCAAUACUGACGCUCAUGCACGAAAAGCGUGGGGGAGCAAAACAGGAUUAGAUACCCUGGUAGUCCACGCCCUAAACGAUGUCAACUAGUUGUUGGGGAUUCAUUUCCUAGUAACGUAGCUAACGCGUGAAGUUGACCGCCUGGGGAGUACGGUCGCAAGAUUAAAACUCAAAUAAUUGACGGGGUCAUAGCUGUUUCCU
rnacentral:rRNA from 1 species